rnacentral:misc_RNA from 1 species
AAGGAUCAUUAAAGAGUUAGGGUCUUCGGCCCAACCUCCAACCCUCUGUUGUUAAAACUACCUUGUUGCUUUGGCGGGACCGCCCGGUCUCCGAGCGCGUCGGCCCUAGGGUCGGCGAGUGCCCGCCAGAGUCCAACCAAACUCUUGUAUUAAACCAGUCGUCUGAGUAUAAAAUUUUAAUUAAAUUAAAACUUUCAACAACGGAUCUCUUGGUUCUC